UACAGAGGUCUCAAGCGUUGUUCGGAUUCAUUGGGCGUAAAGGGUGCGUAGGUGGCGUGGUAAGUCGGGUGUGAAAUUUCGGAGCUUAACUCCGAAACUGCAUUCGAUACUGCCGUGCUUGAGGACUGGAGAGGAGACUGGAAUUUACGGUGUAGCAGUGAAAUGCGUAGAGAUUGUAAGGAAGACCAGUGGCGAAGGCGGGUCUCUGGACAGUUCCUGACACUGAGGCACGAAGGCCAGGGGAGCAAACGGG
rnacentral:rRNA from 1 species